UUGAAAGUCGAAUCACAACACGCGUGCCGCUGUUGCUCCUGGCCUGUGCAACGAUCUCCGAUCUUCUUGCGUUCUCCGACGAUCUUCUCCGGUGACAUCUCAUCCGGCGUCGAUCUCCUUCGGCGACAUCUCUUACAGCGGCGAUCUCCUCCGGUGACGUCUCCUCCAGCUUCCUCUCCUUAUCGACCUCUGUGUCUUCUCCACUAAAAUCGUCAACACCUUCCUUUCCUUCCUCUGCGACGAUCUAGGCUGUUUGCGAGGAUUCAUCGCGAGUGGAGAAGUCGGUUCCGCCAUUUGCGCAGCAAGAUCAACAGCAAUUUGUGUUCCGCUGCUCUGCUGCCGCUGAUGUUCCUCAAUUUCUCUGCUCGGUGCCUUUGCCGCUGUCCCUCACUCUUCCAAAGGUUUCAACUAAUGUUUGCAUUGUAUAGUACAUCAAAAGAAAAGACAGAUUCAAUUAUAAGAUCAAAGGGGUUAUCAAAGUUGGAGAAGCAAAUGGCAGGUAACUGCUACCUCUGAUAAUUUGGCUCUAUAAGUUGGAAAGCUUUGUUCUGCACUCCUUAGCCACUAUCAAUACCAAAAAAGAAAGCUAGUUAGCCACUGUGUAGUUUCCUGCAAUUCACUAUUUCAGCAUCAAAGGUCUAAAUCAAGUUAAUCAACCAUGUGAGAUUCAUUCCCCUUUUUAGACACUCCUUGUUGUAGAAACACUUCAGCAAUAGAGUAGUCAAAUGAGAGUGACCAUCCAUUUCUUCCCAUUCAAGUAACAAAAUCUUACAUGUGCAUAAAAGAAAAAGUAAUAUGUUUGAGACUUUCCUGUUAUUUUCACUAAAGUGAGAAAAAGUGAAGAAUGGUUUGCAACUGAAUAUUAUAUCUGAAACUAAAGAAUGAAGAAUGGAUAAGGUGAAAGCUUUACCUAGUGGGAAUGUUGGAGCCAGUCUUGGAAGCCGUGGAUGUUAACAGCAAAGCACAAGUGACUGUAUUGCUUGGUUGGACUUCACACAACAAGGAAAGGGAUGAAAUGAAACAGGCAAAGGUGGAGAAAUGGACGAGAUGAAAGAAUAAAAAUGGAGAGAGAAUUUGUAACCAAUUAAACAAUGGUAAAGGUUUCAAUUCGCUGACAAUCAUAAAAGCAUCAAUUGUGCUUCUUUGCACAAGUUCUUAUUAUGAUUGUAGUUAUGAUUUUGUGCUGAGUUUUAAAAUGCACAACCUUCCUGCUUAUGAUUAGCCAAAGGCUCGGCCUGUGCUUUCUGGUAAUGCAUUGAGAUCUAUUUAGUUAUUAUAAUCGAGCUUGACUUUUAUGUCUUAAAGAAAAGUGUAAUUUUUUUUAAUAUAUUUUUAUAUUAGCUAAUUGUCUCUCUCUUUUUGGACAACAAUGUAUGAAAAGCUUUUCACUUUUGAGGGUGAAAUUGGUGGUGGCAGGUUAUUUCUUUCUUUGGUCUUGCCAAACCUACUUUAUAUAAUUAGAUACAAUUUUUCUAAUAAACUUAGAUAAUGGUCCUAAAUUGCUCUGAUAACAAAGCUAACUUCUGUUGUUAUAAUAUUAUCUGUCUCACUGUUUUUAGUGACUUUAGGGGCUUAUGUUUUUAGAUCUUUGAUACUUGUGUUUGAAAAUUUGAGGAUAUAUGCAUAAUCAUAUUGUUCCUGCAGAUCAAAUCCUUUGAUUUCUUUCACUGGCCACUAUGUUAUUAAUUAACUGUUUUAUUUAUGAGAAAAAUGUUAUUAAUUACAUUUUUUUCUUCUGUAAAUUCAAUUUUUCUUUAGGGGAGAAGGUGGAGUGAUAGACUUCACCAAGCAGUUGAAGCAAAGGAAGGGCUACCAAUUCAAAAUGAAACAGUUACACUGGCUUCCCUUAGUUAUCAGAAUUUCUUUCUGCAGUUUCCUAAGCUUUGUGGUAUGAUUGGUACAGCAGCAACAGAAAGCACAGAAUUUGAGAGCAUUUACAAGCUUAAAGUUACAAUCGUUCCAACAAAUAAACCUAUGAUAAGAAAGGAUGAAUCUAAUGUAGUUUUUAGGGCAACUAGUGGGAAAUGGCGAGCAGUUGUAGUAGAAAUCUCUAGAAUGCAUAAAACUGGUCGUCCAGUACUUGUUGCCACCACAAGUGUGGAGCAGAGCGAUUCUUUGUUAGAGCAAUUGAAAGAAGCUGGAAUUCCAUAUGAGGUAAAGUCUUUUUCAUUUUAAUGGGGAUCUUGGAAGAUGUGAGCGCACAUUAUUUUCUUAAUCUUACCUGUGUUGAAUGUCUUUAAUAGAGAAGGGUAGUGUAUUCUUUGCCCAAGACCGGAUGCUGCUAUUAAUAAUUGUUCUUCUAAUCCGAUAGUUUUUUGGAUAUAAUAUAAUGAACCCUGUCCCUGUAUUGUUUAAGGUUCUUAAUGCAAAACCAGAAAAUGUUGAGAGAUAAGCAGAGAUUGUAGCUCAGAGUGGUCGGCUUGGGGCCGUGACAAUUGCUAGGCAUGUGCAUUUUAAUUUAUGGUAACCGUGUACUUUUUCCUUGCAUUUUCCACUUCACGUUUUCAUGCCUCAAAUCCUAUGGCUUUUACGGACAGCAACUUUAGCGACUUCUCGAGUUGUUUUCCCUGAUUCUGCACAGCCUGAGCAGCAUUGAUCACCGAUUGCUUGGAUUCUCUCAUGUUGGACAGCUUAUGUCUCCUUAAGCUGUGUCUCCUUCUCAAACACAUUAUGCAACCAUAAAACAAGAGCCAAACAAUACAUCUAUAAAUAUAUAUUCCUUAUUCAACAUCCAUCAUCUAGAUUGUGAGUUUGUAAAAUUUCCUACAGAUCCAAGAACAUUGCAUGUAAUAAUUGAAUUUUGGUAUCUUAAUUGAUGAAUACCUCUGAAGAUCUUCUCUUGAUAGAAAAUCUGUCCUUGUGGAAGGCUACUUCUCCAAACAAACUAACAGCAGCUUUGACGGAUUAGAACGGAGCCGUUGUGUCAAUCUCUCCCACCUCUCCUCUUGGAGAAGCUGCCUUCCUUGUGUAUCCGUGCAUUUUCUUUGAUCCUUCUUGGGAUGAUACAAGGCAGAUGCCACUCACUACUUGGGUAAUCCAAGAAACGUUGAGAAGUGCAAGCAUACAAGUAUUUGAACUGUUAGUUCUUUUCUAGUAUCUCUACUGAUAUUGAAAUUGGACAAUGAAUUGUUAAUUCCUCAUUUGGUGACUAGUUAUUUUAAAGCAAGUGAUAGAGGUAAAAAGGCAUAAUCAUUAUGCCUGGUGUCCAUGCUGGAUGAGAGCUUUAGAUCAUUCUAUAAAAAUCAAACUAUAUAAUCUUCCUCACACUUUGCUUCAAUUCACCACCUUCACUUCAAUUCUAAUACACAUAUAUUCCUUUGCAACUUCAAUCUUUCUUAUUAGCCUCUCUACUUAAUUAGAGAUCACAAGUUUCAUUAUCAUUUCUCAAUCAACAAUGAAGGUUAGUUAGAAGCUUAUCCUACAUUAAAUAAACUAUAUAUGAGUAUUUAGUUUAUUAUUAAUUAUUUCGUUUCAUGUAUGAUAUGUUAAUAUUAGUCCUAAUAAAAUCUUUUAUUGAUUUGUGUUAACAGAAAGUUGUGUUGAAGUUGGAUUUACACAAUGACAAAACCAAGCAAAAAGCUAUGAAAACUGGGUUGAAUCAGUAUCUGUGGACAUGAAGGAGAAGAAAAUGAGUUUAAUUGGUGAAAACAACACUUAUUAGAUGAUUUAAAUACAUUAUUAGAUAUUAACAUAGUUUAGGAAACUAGAUGGUAGAUUUGACUAAUUAGUUUUUAUUGCAAUAUUUGUAUUUUAGUAAGUUUAGUAAGACAAGGUUUUGUA